UAACGCAAAACUCAAAAUCUUUCAACACCUGUACACCAUUUUGCUUCUCCCGUUCACAAACUGAAUUCAGGUACAGCUGAUUGUAGACAAGCCUGGUGUGUGGAUAACUGAGGAACCUUUGCAAUGGCUAACUGGCUGCCAGGGGUUGGAAGAGUUCACUGAACCUUCAAAGUGCACAGCUGUUAUCUUUGACUAGUGGCCAAAAACAAAAUUAUAGCUUUGGUAAGAGGUCUCCAUGGAUCAUGCUUGUUUGUCCAGCACAUCCCACAGAUGCCUGGUUGGAUUGAGAUCUGGGGAAUAUGGAGGCCAACUCAACACCUCAAAUUCACUGCUUUUCUCCUCAAAUUAUUCCUGAACCAUUUGAUAAAAUCUUAUUUUUAGACUGAAAUACCGCAAAGGAUUCUGGGAAGUAGCUAGCCGGUCGUCACGGCAAAGCUACGAGAGCGUCUCUCAGCAUGGGCCCAAAAAAAGUUCUGUCAGCCGAGGAAGGAGACGAUAUUAAGAAGUCGCUGGAGUUUAUGACAGAGGAGAUUUCUACUGUCAAACUGCAGCAGAAAGCCAUCCUGGACCUGGUCGAGGAAGUUAAGGCUCUCCGCAUCCAGAACGCCGAGAAGGAUCGGCGGCUGGCGUACCUGGAGAACAGAGUGGCGGAUUUGGAGCAGUACACCCGGAUGAACGAUGUUAUCAUCACGGGGCUUCGCAUCAAACCCCGGUCAUACGCCCGGGCGGUCGCCACUGACAAUGUAGGAGGGCCAGGAGAGGAAGAUGUCAACUCCACGGAGCAUCAAGUGGUUACCUUUCUACGGUCCAAAGGUGUGGAAGUGGAUUAUAACAACAUUGAGGCUUGCCACCCUCUACCCCGAAAAAAUGACAGUAACAAACCAGCCAUCAUUGUGAGAUUUGCAAACAGAAAACAGAAAACAGCACUGUUAAAACAAGGAAGGAAACUGAAAGGAUCUGAUGUCUUCAUGAACGAACAUCUGAUAAAAAGAAAUGCGGACAUUGCCAGGAAAGCACGUUACUUGAAGAAACAGGGAAAAAUUCAAAAUACAUGGACCACCAACUGCAAAGUAUUCAUUAAACUCAAUGGAACACCGGAACAAGCCAAAGUGUUGGUCAUCAGAAAUAUGGAAGAGCUGGACAAAUACUGAGGUCAACUUACUCUGGAGGUAUGAAUACACAUGUGACGUGACACACAACACAACACAUGGCACAGUCCAAAAGAACUUCAUCUGCAUCCGGCAACAAUAUCAACAUGACUCAUUGGAAUUCUCUUUAUGAUAAUCUGGAACUGAGAACAUUUCGAUACACAGACCAUAAUGUUCUAGACUUAGAAAAGGAUAUAGACCCGGAAAAUAAUUUCUUCUACAACAUCAGCUGUAACUGCUGCUACUUCACUGAUGAACAGUUUAAGCACACCAUCAACACAGAAAAUAAAUUAUCAAUAAUCCAUUUUAAUAGCAGAAGUCUGUAUGCCAACUUCAACAAUAUAAAGGAAUAUCUAAAUGAGUUGACAAAUCCAUUUGGAAUUAUUGCCAUUUCUGAAACAUGGAUCAAUGCGGAGAAAGGAAUGGACUUUGGACUGGAGGGAUAUGAAGUGAAUUUUGUAAAUAGAAGGAACAAGAGUGGAGGGGGAGUAGCUGUGUAUGUGGAUAAAAACCUAAACUACAAGGUGGUAGAAAGUAUGACAACUGUAAUUGAUAAUUUACUAGAAUGUAUAACAAUUGAAAUUUAUAAGGAAAAAGAAAAAAAUGUAAUAAUUAGCUGUAUAUAUAGAACACCUGGCUCUAGUAUUCAAGUAUUUAAUGACUUCAUAGAGGAAAUAUUCUCUAAAACAAAUCAAAAAGUUAUGUUUAUCUGUGGUGAUUUUAAUAUUGACCUGUUGAAUCCAAAAAAGCAUAAAAUGACCGACGAAUUCCUAAACACUAUGUACAGUUUGAGUUUACAUCCUAAAAUAACCGGGCCUAGCAGAAUUACACCACAUUGUGCCACCUUACUUGACAAUAUUUUCACUAACAAUAUGGAAAACAACAUUGUGAGCGGAAUAUUAAUUAAUGACAUCAGUGAUCACCUACCAGUUUUUGCAGUUUAUGACACUAAUUAUAAGAAAAAUCAGCAUGAAGAACAACUGAGAUACAGACGUGUAAGGACAGAAGAAACUAUGACUGCAUUUAAGAACGAUCUAUUAAAUCAGGACUGGGACAAGGUGUACAAAGAAGCUGAUAUUGAUAUUGCAUAUGGCAUAUUUUUAAGAAUAUUCAUGGAGUUGUACGAUAAAAACUGUCCAACAAUAAAAUACAACAGAAAGCACAAAUAUUCAGAUAGACCAUGGCUCACUAAGGGUUUACAAAAUGCAUGUAAAAAGAAAAAUACAC
ensembl:lncRNA